rnacentral:lncRNA from 1 species
UUAUUUAUAAUCUGGUACAAGUUUUGAACCUAUUAUUUAUGCAUAAAAUAAUUACUGGCAACAACAGUCAUAUCUCUGAUAUCUAAAUCCUUUCUCGAAACAGAUACCUCCCUUAAAGCCCUUUCCUACGCAAGCGUCGUUGCAACCAGGAUAGCAAUUGUCUAUGCAGUUCGAUGUUGAUAUUGAAUAAGUUGAUAGUGCAUUAGUAUCUGAUGUUGCUUUUGAAUCUCCUUCUGCAUUUAUAUCACCAUUAAAUUAUAUCAAAGUUCACCAUAAAAUUCAAUGAAAUCUCACCAUAUACCAAAUUUUACCAUAAAAUUUCAAUUACCUCCUACUGCACUCAGAACCAGAGCAACGAACAAAACACUAAAAAGAAAAGGACGAAACAAGCGAGAAGCCAUUUCUAAAGAAUUUUAGUUUUCUGUUUUGAUUUUUUUUUUCCUUCUGAAUGUUUCAUAUCCCAC